rnacentral:rRNA from 1 species
GACGAACGCUGGCGGCGUGCUUAACACAUGCAAGUCGAACGGAAAGGCCCUGCUUUUGUGGGGUGCUCGAGUGGCGAACGGGUGAGUAACACGUGAGUAACCUGCCCUUGACUUUGGGAUAACUUCAGGAAACUGGGGCUAAUACCGGAUAGGAGCUCCUGCUGCAUGGUGGGGGUUGGAAAGUUUCGGCGGUUGGGGAUGGACUCGCGGCUUAUCAGCUUGUUGGUGGGGUAGUGGCUUACCAAGGCUUUGACGGGUAGCCGGCCUGAGAGGGUGACCGGCCACAUUGGGACUGAGAUACGGCCCAGACUCCAACGGGAGGCAGCAGUGGGGAAUAUUGCACAAUGGGCGGAAGCCUGAGACAGCAACGCCGCGUGCGGGAUGACGGCCUUCGGGUUAUAAACCGCUUUCGCCUGUGACGAAGCGUGAGUGACGGUAAUGGGUAAAGAAGCACCGGCUAACUACGUG